UGAGGAAUAUUGGUCAAUGGGCGAGAGCCUGAACCAGCCAAGUCGCGUGAAGGAAGACUGCCUUAUGGGUUGUAAACUUCUUUUAUACAGGAAUAAAAAGGCUUACGUGUAGGCCAUUGCAAGUACUGUAUGAAUAAGCAUCGGCUAACUCCGUGCCAGCAGCCGCGGUAAUACGGAGGAUGCGAGCGUUAUCCGGAUUUAUUGGGUUUAAAGGGUGCGCAGGCGGGCUUUUAAGUCAGCGGUGAAAUCUGGACGCUUAACGUCCAAACUGCCGUUGAAACUGGGAGUCUUGAGUAUGGAUGAAGUAGGCGGAAUUCGUUGUGUAGCGGUGACAUGCAUAGAUAUAACGAGGAACUCCGAUUGCGUAGGCAGCUUACUAAGCCAUAACUGACGCUCAUGCACGAAAGCGUGGGGAUCAAACAGGAUUAGAUACCCUGGUAGUCCACGCCGUAAACGAUGAUUACUAGUUGUAUGCGAUAUGAUAGUAUGUGACUAAGCGAAAGCGAUAAGUAAUCCACCUGGGGAGUACGCCGGCAACGGUGAAACUCAAAGGAAUUGACGGGGUCAUAGCUGUUUCCUG
rnacentral:rRNA from 1 species